rnacentral:rRNA from 1 species
UAGGGAAUCUUCCGCAAUGGACGAAAGUCUGACGGAGCAACGCCGCGUGAGUGAUGAAGGUUUUCGGAUCGUAAAACUCUGUUGUCAGGGAAGAACAAGUACGAUAGUAACUGAUCGUACCUUGACGGUACCUGACCAGAAAUCCACGGCUAACUACGUGCCAGCAGCCGCGGUACUACGUAGGUGGCAAGCGUUGUCCGGAAUUAUUGGGCGUAAAGCGCUCGCAGGCGGUUCUUUAAGUCUGAUGUGAGAUCUUGCGGCUCAACCGCAAACGGGGAUUGGAAACUGGAAGACUUGAGUGCAGAAGAGGAGAGUGGAAUUCCACGUGUAGCGGUGAAAGGCGUAGAGAUGUGGAGGAACACCAGUGGCGAAGGCGGCUUUCAGAACUGAAACUGACGCUGAGGAGCGAAAGCGUGGGGAGCGAACAGG